CGCGCUGCGUCCCCUCCCUCCGCCCGGGCGCCCGCGCGCGCGCGCAGCCCCUUCCUCUGCCUCGGGCUGCGCCGCGACCGUCUGCCGUGACGCGCGCCCCCUCCUCCCGACCCAUCCCGCCGCUCCAGUGAGCUAAUCCGCAGCUGGCGGGCGCCCGGCCGGUUGCCACGGCAACCACUCUCCCAGGGCCCGCCGCCGAGGGGGAGCCACGGCAGGUAUGGAACCCUAGGGGAAGCUUGGCUACACUUCGAAGUGAGUACUGCCACCUAGUGGAAGUAGAGUGAACCACGCCAGCAGGGACGCUACCAAGAACUGGAUACUUCAUUUGCUGGGGCUUUUGUUGUUGAGAAGAAUCUGGAAAUCAAUGGAGGCUACCCAAAGGAGGACAAAUGGGCUGUUUACUCAGCGUAGGCUGUAGAGAGGAAGCCAGCGCCACUGUGGAAGAGACUUGAACUCAAGUGGAGACAAACGCCUGUGGGCCCAGGUGUUGCUGGGGCCGUGGUGAAGGAAGAGGUGGUGUUCUAGCUUCAUUUCUAUGGCUGUGAUAAGACAGCCUGAUGACAAACAAUUUAGGGGAGGAAUGGGUUAUUUCUGGUUUACAAAUUUGCUUAUUUAAAAAAUUUUUUUGAGACAGAGUCUCACUGCGUAGCUCUGGCUGUCCUGAAACUCACUAUGUAGAUCAGGCUGGCCCUGAACUCAUAGAGAUCCAUCUGCUUCUAAGUGCUGGGAUUAAAGGCGUGCACAACCAUGUUUGACUGUUUCGGUUUACAUUCUCAGUCACCACCCAUCAUCGAGCAGAAGUCAAGGCGGGAACCCAAACAGCCCCGUCCGUCACAUCACGUGAACUCGCUCUCCUCUGAGUUUCUCCUGUCUCCCAUAGUUCGGGAUCUCCUGCCUAGGGAAUGGGGCCACCCACAGUGGGCUGGGGCUUCCUAAGUCACAGACAUGACCACGGGCCAGCCUGCUCUAGGCAGCCUUUCACUCUGGCUCUUUUUCUAAGUGAUUUUAGGUUGUGUUGAGUUGACAUUUAAAAAUAGCCAUCACAGCUAUGAAGUAGAGGAGGUGGAAGACUCUCAUAGUUCGAGGUGGCGGCUGACUCCCAGCAACCCGAGUCUUCCCUACACAGCAGGGGAGACACACAUACGAACACACAGACUGUGACAUCACACACAAGACCCACAGUUCAAACCAGACAAAAUCCCAGCACAGAGACGGGGAAGUGGACACAAAGUCUCACCUCUAACCAAGAAGCUAUUUGCAGCUAAUACCUGCUUGGAAAGGGAAAAUUGGUUUUCUGUAACAGAGUGUCCCUGAAUAUAUCAACCACAUUUCAGAGCAGGCCCCAUGUGCAGAAGCUGUUGGCCAAGACAAAACACACUCUGUGUUUUUUGUUUUGUUUUGUUUUUUUGAGACAGGGUUUCUCUGUGUAGCUUUGCACCUUUCCUGGAUCUCACUCUGUAGCCCAGGCUGGCCUCGAACUCACAGAAAUCUGCCUGCCUCUGCCUCCCGAGUGCUGGGAUUAAAGGUGUGCGCCACCACCACCUGGCGACUCCGUGUUUUUUGUGCGCCUUCUGUUUUGUUAUAUUUUUUUGGUCUUAUAAGUUUUACUUUGUUUGAUUUUCUUUUUUUUUUUUGAAAGAGCAGGAUGAAUUAGAGACGGAAGGAAUGAUGGAUCAGUAGGAAGGUGGGGGAGGAUCUGGAUGAGUUGGGGGAGGGGAAAGAAUAUGAUCAAAAUAUAUUUUAUGAAAAAAGUUUUUAAAUGAAAACUUCAAAAACUGAACCAUCAUAGGCAUGUUAUGUGACUGUCGGGCUGUCUGCAGCCAGUACUGAGUCGGAAGUGGGGUGAAAGUAGGGGCAGCUGGCACUCUCAACAAGCUAAGCUUUCCUUGUAAGCCUGUAGCUGUUGCAGGGGUCAGCCAGAGUUCCAUGGUGAAAUAUGGUCUGGCCUUCAUUUCGUCUCUAAAGUAGCCGGGUCCCAUGGUACCACCCUGUCUUCAUUGCUUUCACGGCCCUCGCUACACUGUGGAACUGCGCUUAUGUGCUCCCCCCAUCCCCUCUUCCCCUUCUACAGAUGCACAUUCUCCUGCCCCUUUCCUAGGUUUACAGACACAGAAGCUGAGGGUGGGCUAGCCCUCCAGGUAGUUAUGACAGACACUAGGGUUUGAGGUAGGUGCCAUAGGUAAAUUUCUAGGAGGCAACAAAGGUGCACCCACUCCCUGCUGGGAAUUGGCUAAGAUGUUACUUUAUUUAUUUUUAUGGGUAGGGUGAGGUAGGGUGGAUAUGGGCUUUAACAAUAGAAAAUUGGAAAACAUUUAUUAUUUAUUUAUUUAUUUAUUUAUUUAUUUAUUUAUUUCCGAGAUAGGGUUUCUCUGUGUAGCUUUGAACUACUGUUCCUGUCCUGGAACUCACUUUGUAGACCAGGCUGGCCUCGAACUCACAGAGAUCCACCUGCCUCUGCCUCCUGAGUGCUGGGAUUAAAGGCGUGCGCCACCACCGCCUGGCUAUUUAUUUGUUUUUGUUUGUUUAUUUUCAGGUAGGGUUUCCUGUACCCAUGUGAGCUUUAGACUUUGAUUGCAUGUGUGAACUACUCCACCUGGCAGGGCUUUGUUUAUUUAUUUACUUAGAGAGGGUUUCAUUAUGUAGCCUGGGCUAGCCUGGAACUCACUAUGUAGACCACGCUGGCCUUGAACUCACAAAAGACCCAUCUGUCUCUGCCUUCUGAGUGCUGGGAUUAAAGUUGUUUGAUGUGCCACCAUGCCAGGUCAGGACUUUAUUUUAAAUGAGAUCUGCUGGUCAUGGUGGCACAUGCCUGUCAUCACAGCACUCAGGAGGCAGAGGCAGAAAGACCAGAAGUUCAAGGUCAUCCUCAGGAACAUGUCAAAAUAGAGGCCUCUUUUAAAACAAAUUGCUUGGUAGCCAGACAGUGGUGAUACAUGCCUUUAAUCCCAUCAGAGGUUUUCUGAGUUGGAGGUUGGAGGUCUACAGAGCGAGUCCAGGUCAGCCAGGGCUACAGAGAAACCCUGUCUUGAAAAACCUAAAAACCUAAAAAAAAAUCACUUGGUCUGAUGCUUUAGACCAAGCACUUGGGAAGCCGAGGAAGGAUUGCCUCAAGUUCAAGGCCAGCUUGGCUCUGUAGUGAGAUCCAGACCAGCCUAGAUUAUGGAGUAAGGCCUUAUCUUAAAAUGAUAGUAACAGUGCUAAUACUGCUAAAUAAUCACAUAGAAAACAGAUGAGAUCUUCCACAGUGCAUCUUCCAUGCCUGUUAUAUGACUCAGGAGAACAGAACUACUUCUGCUUUCCAUUAAGUGAUAAAAAUGACCAUGUUUUGGCAGAGACGUAUUGGGCCUUCGUGAAAAACUCUCCCCUUCUGAUGCCAAUGGGGAUUGAGAGCCCAACAUGGCCAGCUUUGGCAAACAUUAACGUAAGCCUAGGAACUGUAGCCAUGCGGUUGGAUUCUCCAGAAGAGCUGCCAGCUUAAGUCAUGCUGGGAUCAAGAGAAAUGGGCCUUGGUGGUUUGUGUUCCUGGAGUUAUGUCCAUACCAGUGGAUGCCCACACGCUCCAGAAGAGAAUUUGACAUCACUGCUGCUGUUGUUGCUGUUAUAGCAGAGGUGGCCACUGCUGCCACUGUUUCUGGGAUUGCCAUUGUUAGUUAAUUAGCGGCGCUCUUACCCUGCGAGGGAAUGCCAUGAAACACGACAGAAUCCACUAACAAGAGUUUUAUUAAGAUAAAAGGGACAGAUGAGUGCCCAGGCCUGUGGGAGAGACACGUGUGUGGGAAAAAAGGAGGAGAAGGAGAAGAAGAAGAAGAAGAGGGCAGCCAGGAAUGUGGUGCCAGCUUAUAAAGGCUGGGUGGCAUAUGCGCAUACACAGGUCGACGUAACUACUCCACGCCUGCGCAGAUCACAUGGCUGCAUUGUGCACUCUUACACAACCAUGCAAAGUCACGGAUCCUGGUCACGAGAGACGCCUUGACCCGGAAAUGGCUAUCUUGACAUGGAACUGGCUAGGCAGAAGCGUCCACCGGGCAUGCACAAACACGCCCAACCUUGGGGGCGUGUUGUGAACCCAUCAGCCACUUCAUAAUUGGUUACUACAGCUAGCACAAUGGAGACUCUGGCAGCAAAAGUAGCUACUACAGUUAGUUAAUCUUUCAUUCUAUUCUGCCCUCUGGGGUUCUCCCAUUGUGCUAUAAGCCUGUAUUUAAGACCUCCUCCCUCCUUCAAUAAACGGCAUUCGGCAUUCA